rnacentral:rRNA from 1 species
UACAGAGGGGGCAAGCGUUAUUCGGAAUUAUUGGGCGUAAAGGGCGCGUAGGCGGCUUUGCAAGUGACGGGUGAAAUCCCACGGCUUAACCGUGGAACUGCCUGUCAGACUGCAUGGCUUGAGACCAGGAGAGGUGAGUGGAAUUCCCAGUGUAGCGGUGAAAUGCGUAGAUAUUGGGAGGAACACCAGUGGCGAAGGCGGCUCACUGGACUGGUACUGACGCUGAGGCGCGAAAGCCAGGGGAGCGAACGGG